UCCUUCUCUUUUUUUGUACAUCGUGCGUCUAUCGAAGUCCACCUUCCCGCUCGCCCAUCAAUGUGCCAACAGACAGCCGCACAAUCUGUGGACGCCACUUCCCUUUGAUAUGGGUGAGUGAGGAUAAUCGGCCCCAGCUCACCGGACUAAAAGGCCGGGUCAGAGUUUUAAAGAGAAGCUAUGUAUUUCCCAUCCGCGGAUCACGGCGAUGAAGUGGGCCCUUGUGACUCAACCUGAGAGCAUGAAAAGGGCCUCGGAGGGGACCCAGCCAUCGCCGGCCCUCUCUUUAUUGUCCUAACGGCUGCCUGAGCUCCGCGGUAAAGCGCGGCGAGAGAGAACAGGAGUGCAGCGGUGGAGAGCUCUCAGUGUUUUACCUCCCCGACAGCCACUCUCCAUCAUGAAAGCCCAGGGAAUUCCCCCCCGCCCGUCCUUUCCGAAAUGAGAUGAAAUGAAGGAUGGGACUUUGGGCUUCUGAGGCCACGACCCUCGCAGUCCCACAGCGAGACUCCCCGGGAUACGCCGGAGCCCCGCGGACUCGGGGACACCGGGGGCGUGUCCCUCGGCGGGCAGGAUGGCAGGAUGGCAUAGCGGCUGCACUCGGGCCUCGGGCUGCACGCCGAGUCAAGGUCGACAGCUCGUCAAGCUGAGUGACAAGCGUCAGGGCGGGAACUUGACCAAAUGAGGAGGACGGACGGAGCGAAGGACGUUACGGAAGGGACUCAGGACCAGGACUUGUGAUGGACGCGAGAACUAAAGCAGGAGCUGAGUUCUGUGACACGGGAAAAGGGGCAUUUUUUAGUAGAUUACUUAAAAGAUGCAAGUGAGGCGAGCGACCAGAGGGUGACAACCACAAGUUCAUUCCACCAGGUAAUUUUGGCGCAUUAAGACACACCGAGAGGAAAC